CAGUCGCCACGGUAAUACGUAGGUGGCAAGCGUUGUCCGGAAUUAUUGGGCGUAAAGGGCUCGCAGGCGGUUUCUUAAGUCUGAUGUGAAAGCCCCCGGCUCAACCGGGGAGGGUCAUUGGAAACUGGGAAACUUGAGUGCGGAAGAGGAGAGUGGAAUUCCACGUGUAGCGGUGAAAUGCGUAGAGAUGUGGAGGAACACCAGUGGCGAAGGCGACUCCCUGGUCUGUAACUGACGCUGAGGAGCGAAAGCGUGGGGAGCGAACAGGAUUAGAUACCCCAGUAGUCCCUGUCUCUUAUAC
rnacentral:rRNA from 1 species